UCAGCAUGGACAUGAGCAUCCCUGCUCUGCUCCUUGGGCUACUGUUGCUCUGGUUUCCAGGUGGUAGAUGUGACAUCCAGAUGACCCAGUCUCCAUCUUCCCUGUCUGCAUCUCUGAGAGACAAAGUCACCAUCACUUGUCAUGCCAGUAAGGGUAUUAGUAAUUAUUUAUCCUGGUACCAGCAGAAACCAGGGAAAGCUCCUAAGCGCCUGAUAUACUGGGCAAACAGCUUAGCAGAUGGGGUCCCAUCGAGGUUCCGUGGCAGUGGGUCUGGGACAGAUUUUACUCUCACCAUCAGCAACCUGGAGCCUGAAGACAUUGCAACUUAUUACUGUCUUCAGACUAAUGAAGUACCUCCCACAGUGAUACAAGUCAUUACAUAA